rnacentral:tRNA from 2 species
AGGAGAUUAGUCCAACUAAGACUUCUGAUUUCGGCUCAGACAACUAUGGUUAAAACCCAUAAUCCCCUU